rnacentral:hammerhead_ribozyme from 1 species
AUCCAGGUGAUGAGUCCCAAAUAGGACGAGAUGCGCGUCUUGAAU